rnacentral:sRNA from 1 species
ACGUUCUGAAGAAAACUCAUGCAAACUGAUCCAUCUUAGUUUCUUAUGAGGAUACUCAGAAUUUACAGUUGGUUGUACGCUUUGGAAGCCAUUGUUAAAUGAAGGCAGUGUCCCCUGUGAUAAAAAGAGCAAAUAAAAACAAAUGUACUGUAGAGGAGAAAGAAAACGCUUUCAGAAGAACUUUCAAACCACAUGUAAAGAAUGUCCUUACAUAUUUUGCAUCCUCAUAAAACAACAGUCUGUUCAUCCCAAGAUCUAAAUUUUCAUGAAUAAUUCUUAUUCCGAUUCCAUGUAGCAAAGGAUGCAUUCCAAAUUUGUUGUUGUUGUUAAUUUUGAUGAGGUUACGCUCCAUGAGAACUCUUAUUCCAAUAUCAGCGUCUACUCCACAGCCAUUUAGGAUCUUCCUUACAUAGGCUCUGCUCUUACCAACAAAGAAACAACAUACAUCAAGGAAUAUAUCUUUUUCCAUUUCAUUCAGUGAACCUUCUAUGCUUACUUUUAUUAUCUCUGGAACGAAAUCCAUGCCAUCUUUCGCAAAUUUAAACAAUACACUGUCCCAUUCUUCUUUCGACCUUUCAAAUAAAGUACUUCCAACGACUUCAAGAGCUAGUGGUAGUCCUUCACAAUAACUAGCUACUCUUCUUGCAAGGUCUUUGUAUUCUUCUUUUGGUUUUGCUUCUCUAAAUGCAUGCCAACUAAGAAGCUCAAGGGACUCCUCUGCGUUCAUUAGCUCUAUCCAAAAGACAGAUUUAGCAUGAUCUCUCAGCAUUUUUCCAUAUAUUGAUGUAACGAUUAUUACAGUUCCUUCACUGAACCAAUCAUGAUUCCAUAGUGCUAAAAAUUCAAAAUUGUCAGGCAUAUCAUCAAGUACAAUGAGCACCCUUUUCCCAGAAAGUCUUUCCCGCACCAUACUUCUUCCCACAUUAAUGUUAGGAAUCUCCACCAGGUUAGGAAUCUCCACCUUUUGUUUUAGGACAACUAAAAGAAAUUGUUCUUGUAUACGAGGAGGCCCUCUUAUUCCGCUAACAUGUGAAAUAUUUUCAAUGAAACUUUUCUCCUUGAAUGUCCAAUGAAUUUGAUUGUAGAUGGCUUUGGCAAGAGUGGUUUUACCAGAUCCUUUCUGUCCACCUAUUCCUAUUAUACAAACUUCCGUGGGUUUAUUUUUGAUAAUUUGAAUCAGAUCUUCCACGUAUGAUUGUAAUCUAACUGGAAAUUUAGUAGCAGACAAGAUUGGUAAAUUAACAACGCUCAUAACAAUUUUCUCCACUAAUUCAGCAUCACUCCUUCAAGUUGAAGAGCAAAAUAGAAGAAGUCAUGCAUUAACAAAAUGAAAUCCGAGGCAUAAAAGAUGGUUGAUUGAGUAAGUGAUGUACCUGUGAUUGCUCUCAUCCCAUCCAAAGAAAUUUGCAGCUUUGGUGAGUGCAUGGCUCCACCUGGACAUUCCAUGCUCCAGUUCUUGUCCUGAAAAUAUUUGUUGUGCAGUUUCCUUCAAGGCUUUUCCAAAGUCACCCUUCUGAAGACGUACAUCAGAUGGCUGGAUUUCAUAAUAUACAGGCAGAACAUGUCGGCAAUAAGUUUCGUGCCAUUUGAUGAUUUGUAGAAGCUGAUUAAGACACCAAGCAGAUUGAGAAUAGGUUUGGGUGAAAACAACAAUUGCUACACGACAGUGGCUGAGAAUAGGUUCUUGGAUGUGAGUUGACUUCACUGCAUUGUGGUGAUGAAGGAAAGUGGUGAGACCAACAGUAGAGAGGACAGAAUUGAGAUGAGAAACAAAUUUUCUGUGGAUGUCUUCUCCAGUGAAGUUGAUGAGCACAUCGUACUUCUGUGGGAGUUUGUUUGAUGAGGAGACGUUAUCCAUCGAAAGAAAAUGAUGAGAGGUGAUCAAUAGUUAGAAAAACU